rnacentral:rRNA from 1 species
AUUGAACGCUGGCGGAAUGCUUUACACAUGCAAGUCGAACGGCAGCACGGGUGCUUGCACCUGGUGGCGAGUGGCGAACGGGUGAGUAAUACAUCGGAACGUACCCAGUCGUGGGGGAUAACGUAGCGAAAGUUACGCUAGUACCGCAUACGUCCUGAGGGAGAAAGCGGGGGACCGUAAGGCCUCGCGCGAUUGGAGCGGCCGAUGGCGGAUUAGCUAGUUGGUGGGGUAAAGGCCUACCCAGACGACGAUCCGUAGCGGGUCUGAGAGGACGGCCCGCCACACAGGAACGGAGACACGGUCCAGACUCCUACGGGAGGCAGCAGUGGGGAAUUUUGGAAAAUGGGCGAAAGCCUGAUCCAGCCAUUCCGCGUGGGUGAAGAAGGCCUUCGGGUUGUAAAGCUCUUUCGGCAGGGAAGAAACGGCUUGGGAUAAUACCCCGGGCUAAUGACGGUACCUGAAGAAGAAGCACCGGCUAACUACGUGCCAGCAGCAGCCGCCG